AUUGAACGCUGGCGGCAUGCUUUACACAUGCAAGUCGAACGGCAGCACGGGGGCAACCCUGGUGGCGAGUGGCGAACGGGUGAGUAACACAUCGGAACGUGUCCAGUUGUGGGGGAUAACCCAUCGAAAGGUGGGCUAAUACCGCAUGAGCUGGCAACAGGAAAGCGGGGGACCCGCAAGGGCCUUGUGCGAUUGGAGCGGCCGAUGUCCGAUUAGCUAGUUGGUGGGGUAAAGGCCUACCAAGGCUUCGAUCGGUAGCUGGUCUGAGAGGAUGAUCAGCCACACUGGGACUGAGACACGGCCCAGACUCCUACGGGAGGCAGCAGUGGGGAAUUUUGGACAAUGGGGGCAACCCUGAUCCAGCCAUGCCGCGUGAGUGAAGAAGGCCUCGG
rnacentral:rRNA from 1 species